GAUGAACGCUGGCGGCGUGCCUAACACAUGCAAGUCGAGCGAGAAACCAUCGAUUGAAACUUCGGUAGAUAUUGAAGGCGGAAAGCGGCGGACGGGGUGAGUAACGCGUAGGCAACCUGCCCUUUGCAGAGGGAUAGCAACGGGAAACUGUUAUUAAAACCUCAUAAUACCGUAAUGUCAAAUGAUGAAACGGUCAAAGAUUUAUCGGCAAAGGAUGGGCCUGCGUCUGAUUAGUUAGUUGGUAGGGUAACGGCCUACCAAGGCAGCGAUCAGUAGCCGACCUGAGAGGGUGAUCGGCCACAUUGG
rnacentral:rRNA from 1 species